GUGGGGAAUAUUGGACAAUGGGCGAAAGCCUGAUCCAGCCAUGCCGCGUGAGUGAUGAAGGCCUUAGGGUUGUAAAGCUCUUUUGUCCGGGAAGAUAAUGACUGUACCGGAAGAAUAAGCCCCGGCUAACUUCGUGCCAGCAGCCGCGGUAAUACGAAGGGGGCUAGCGUUGUUCGGAAUCACUGGGCGUAAAGCGCACGUAGGCGGACCAUUAAGUCAGGGGUGAAAGCCUGGAGCUCAACUCCAGAACUGCCUUUGAUACUGAUGGUCUCGAGUGUGGAAGAGGUUGGUGGAACUGCGAGUGUAGAGGUGAAAUUCGUAGAUAUUCGCAAGAACACCAGUGGCGAAGGCGGCCAACUGGUCCACUACUGACGCUGAGGUGCGAAAGCGUGGGGAGCAAACAGGAUUAGAAACCCGUGUAGUCC
rnacentral:rRNA from 1 species